rnacentral:rRNA from 1 species
GAGUUUGAUCUUGGCUCAGAUUGAACGCUGGCGGUAUGCUUAACACAUGCAAGUCGAACGGUAACAGGAGAGAGCUUGCUCUUUUGCUGACGAGUGGCGGACGGGUGAGUAAUGCGUAGGAAUCUGCCUAGUAGUGGGGGACAACGUGUGGAAACGCACGCUAAUACCGCAUACGCCCUACCGGGGAAAGGACGGGGGAGGUCUUCGGUACC